rnacentral:rRNA from 2 species
CAGAACGAACGCUGGUCUCCAGGCUUAACACAUGCAAGUCGAGCGCCCCGCAAGGGGAGCGGCAGACGGGUGAGUAACACGUGGGAACGUGCCCUUUGGUUCGGAACAACCCAGGGAAACUUGGGCUAAUACCGGAUACGUCCGUAAGGAGAAAGAUUUAUCGCCAAAGGAUCGGCCCGCGUCUGAUUAGCUGGUUGGUGAGGUAACGGCUCACCAAGGCGACGAUCAGUAGCUGGUCUGAGAGGAUGAUCAGCCUCACUGGGACUGAGACACGGCCCAAACUCCUACGGGAGGCAGCAGUGGG